UCUGGUGCCAAUGGCAAAGAGGUCACACCUGUUCCCAUGCCGAACACAGAAGUUAAGCUCUUUAGCGCCGAUGGUAGUCGGA
rnacentral:rRNA from 2 species